AAUGCAAUUUAACCUUUCUUUCUUUCUCUCUUUUUUAUAUUUUUGUUACAGAGAAUGGAGUAAACCGGUUCGUUUUCAUCAGUAAUAUCACGGCCUGGAAGGAUGCUCAGAGCUACUGCAGACAGUAUUACACAGACCUUGUCGUCAUUCAGAAUCAAACUGAGAAUAACCAGCUGAGUGUGCUGAUGAAACCAUAUACAAAUGCUUGGAUUGGACUCUUCAGAGACGUGUGGAAAUGGUCAGAUGAAACAAAUGUCUCCACUUCCUCCUUUACUAGACUACCUUUACAAUCUGGGCUGCGUAGUCCUUGUGGUGUUUCAGAUCCUGGUGGUAUAAUCAGUUACCAGAUCUGCUCAAACGUUCUCCCUUUCCUCUGCAUGCACCGUGCAAAGAAACAGAUUGUAAGACUGAGGGUCAAAUCUGGUCAGAAUCUUAAUGAUCCUGCAGUGAUGACUGUUAUCUUACAGUGGAUAAAACAGAAGCUGAAGGAAUGGGGUAUAGAAAAGGAAACAAAUGUGACAUGGAGAGUUCAGGCAAAUGGAUAUGUUUUCAUGAGUUACACAUUUUUAAGUUUCAGCGGAAGCAGUGGUGGUCCUGGCUCACUUUGAAUCCAGCUGUGUGCUCAAAAGUGUCAACACCGUGGCAGGACAUAUAAAAGGAGUAAUUCUGUGCCGGUUGUGAAGAUCAGCAGUACAUGUAAAAUGUGUUCAUAUGAUUGAUAUAUUGUAAACUCCCUUAAAACAGUUAAAUGCAACUUAUUAUUUAAUUUGAGGUGUAUUUUAGCACAGCUGUGAUUUCAUAGUAGGGGUAGUAGUAGGGGAUGUAAUUCCGUUUCUUAGUAAAAAAAAUUCAUCUUUUAUUGUAAAAUGACUAGUACAGUGAAAGAUAAUUUUCUUUAUACCAUUCCAUAAAUAAAAUCUUUACAGCAAUCUUAAUACCAAGUCUUUUUGUACACAUGCAGACCUAAAUUGGGCAAAUUCAGAAUUUAGGCCUCUCUUCAAUUAAUGAGUGUGAAUUAGAGCUGAACUGACACACAGGAUGCUGAAUUGUAUAAUAUUCUGGAAAAUUGUGUUCUCUUAAAAGUAAAAGAAAUAUGAAGAAAUUAAUUACACACACAGGCCUUC
rnacentral:lncRNA from 1 species